UCCACGCCGUAAACGAUGAGAGCUAGACGUCGGGCAGCAUGCUGUUCGGUGUCGCAGUUAACGCAUUAAGCUCUCCGCCUGGGGAGUACGGUCGCAAGAUUAAAACUCAAAGGAAUUGACGGGGGCCCGCACAAGCGGUGGAGCAUGUGGUUUAAUUCGACGCAACGCGCAGAACCUUACCAAUCCUUGACAUACUUGUCGCGGAUCCAGAGAUGGAUCUUUCAGUUAGGCUG
rnacentral:rRNA from 1 species